rnacentral:lncRNA from 1 species
ACCUUGGUGACAAGGAAUGGAGGAGAAAAGGAACAGGAAAUUUUAAUAAGAUUAGGAGGGCUUGCUUUUCUGCCAAGUGAGCCGCUUUCACAGGAGCGAUAAAUUGGAAAUGUUAUCUGGCUUGAUAUGCCAGUUUUUCUGAGAAAAUCACUCUGCCAGUGGUGACAGAAUGGAAGAGCUGAAAACAUCUUCUUUUUUCAAAGUCAUAUGUCACGAACCAAGGAGACUCCAAAAAAUAAAUUAUGGAAGAUUAUGACCACUGCUGCCAAGGAUACAGUGAAAUAGAGUUUGUGGCAUCUGGUUUUAACUCCAAUAUGUAAAGAGCUUGGAAGCCAUCUUUCCUUCCACCACAACAAGAAAACAGCUGAACUGAAAAUCAAUGACUUUUCUUAGAUCCAUUAAAGAAUUGAGAUUGCAGGACACACUACCACCCUGAAAACUGGAGAGAGGAAAAAUACAGAGAGGAAGCAGAUCAGCUUACCUGAAGCAGAGGCCGCUGGAAUCUGUGACAGGCUGCAUUUGUAACCAAGCCGUGGUCCUUUUCAUUGCAUCUUGCCAGAAUGAAGAAGAGCUGAUCUCUCCAGUUCCUGUUAUUCC